UACAGAGGGGGCAAGCGUUAUUCGGAAUUAUUGGGCGUAAAGGGUGCGUAGGCGGCCAUGUAAGUGAGGUGUGAAAUCCCUCGGCUCAACCGAGGAACUGCGCUUCAUACUGCAUGGCUUGAGGGAGACAGGGGUAAGCGGAACUGAUGGUGGAGCGGUGAAAUGCGUUGAUAUCAUCAGGAACACCGGUGGCGAAAGCGGCUUACUGGGUCUCUUCUGACGCUGAGGUACGAAAGCUAGGGUAGCGAACGGG
rnacentral:rRNA from 1 species